rnacentral:rRNA from 1 species
AUUGAACGCUGGCGGCAUGCCUUACACAUGCAAGUCGAACGGCAGCACGGGAGCAAUCCUGGUGGCGAGUGGCGAACGGGUGAGUAAAGUAUCGGAACGUGCCCAGUCGUGGGGGAUAACGUAGCGAAAGUUACGCUAAUACCGCAUACGAUCUAUGGAUGAAAGCGGGGGAUCGCAAGACCUCGCGCGAUUGGAGCGGCCGAUAUCAGAUUAGGUAGUUGGUGGGGUAAAGGCUCACCAAGCCGACGAUCUGUAGCUGGUCUGAGAGGACGACCAGCAACACUGGGAAUGAGACACGGCCCAGACUCCUACGGGAGGCAGGAGUGGGGAAUUUUGGACAAUGGGCGAAAGCCUGAUCCAGCCAUGCCGCGUGCAGGAUGAAGGCCUUCGGGUUGUAAACUGCUUUUGUACGGAACGAAAAGGUUUGGCCUAAUAAGCUGAGCUCAUGACGGUACCGUAAGAAUAAGCACCGGCUAACUACGUGCCAGCAGCCGCCGUAA